UUAAUGUUUUAUCAAAAGUUACAAAAUUAGGGUUUAGAGUUAAAGGAUGAGGUUUAUGAUUUAGGGUUUAGGGUUUAGAGUUUAGGGUUUAGGGUUUAUAUUUUAGGGUUUAGGGUUUAGGGUUUAGGGUUUAGAGUUUAGGGUUUAGGGUUUAGAGUUUAGGGUUUAGGGUUUAUGGUUUAGGGUUUAGGGUUUAGUGUUUAGGGUUUAGGGUUUAGGGUUUAAAGUUGAGAAAUGAGGUUUUGGGGAUAAGAUUUCAAAUUUUGAAAAAUAAAAAAAUUAAUAUUUUCAAAAGAUAAACUUAGAAAUGUGCUAUUUUGGUCAUUUUAGUUUUUGAGUGCUAUUUUUGUGAUAUAAACUUAGAAAAAUGCUAUUUUAGAGAUUUGCCCAUUAAUAUACACUAAAAAUCUCUAUAAAAUAAUAUAACUUUAUAGUCCCAAAUUGAUUUUUGGUUUAAUUAAUAUAUUGAUAAAUUAAUAAUUUUUAUAAAUUAAUAAAAAAAUAUAGU
rnacentral:lncRNA from 1 species